GACGAACGCUGGCGGCGUGCUUAACACAUGCAAGUCGAACGUGAUUUUUGUGGAAAUUCUUUCGGGAAUGGAAAUGAAAUGAAAGUGGCGAACGGGUGAGUAACACGUGAGCAACCUACCUUACACAGGGGGAUAGCCGUUGGAAACGACGAUUAAUACCGCAUGAGACCACAGAAUCGCAUGAUAUAGGGGUCAAAGAUUUAUCGGUGUAAGAAGGGCUCGCGUCUGAUUAGCUAGUUGGAAGGGUAAAGGCCUACCAAGGCGACGAUCAGUAGCCGGUCUGAGAGGAUGAACGGCCACAUUGGAACUGAGACACGAUCCAAACUCCUACGGGAGGCAGCAGUGGGGAAUAUUGCACAAUGGGGGGAACCCUGAUGCAGCGACGCCGCGUGAGCGAAGAAGGUUUUCGAAUCGUAAAGCUCUGUCCUAUGAGAAGAUAAUGACGGUAGCAUAGGAGGAAGCCCCGGCUAAAUACGUG
rnacentral:rRNA from 1 species